rnacentral:misc_RNA from 1 species
GUUUGGAUCAUUCAUAUAUAGAUUUGGAAACAAUUCUCACAUUAGAAUUUGCUUUUAAAUCGCGUAUCAUAACAGAAAAGAAAACUCUUAACGGUGGAUUUCUUGGUUCCCAUAACGAUAAAGAUUAUCGCGAGCUGUAAUAAGCCAUCGGAGACGCUAUAGCGAGAAGAUGAGAUUAUUGAAUGCAAAUUGCUUUGAGCUUUUUUGAGCUUGAAAUGCACGUAUCGGUAUUGAAUGAUUGUAUCUCAAUUCAUUUUGAGAUGAGGAUAUUGUUUUGAAAUAAUUUGUUAUAGUUAUUCAGUAACUAAACGAUUUCUUAAAAUCCGAUAUGAGCAGGAUUAACCCGCUGAACUUAAGCAUAUUAAUAAGCGGAGGAAAAGAAACAAACUUGGACUCUUAUAGUAGUGGCGAACGAAGUAAGACAUGUUCAAUAUGAGAAUCGAGUGUUACACUCGAGUUGUACUUCAUGAAGUAAUCCGGUGCCAUUUGGGAAGCAAGUUAUAUGGAACUCGAGCCAGAGAAGGUGAUAGUCCUGUAUCCUCCUCAACGGUACAGUAGGAAACUUUUAAGUGAGUCGUGCUUCUUGGGAUUGAAGCGCAAAUGGGUGGUACGGUUCAUCCACGACUAAGUAUGCAAUGGGAGACCAAUAGCGAAGAAGUACCUUGAGGGAAAGAUGAAAAGAACUUCAGAAGGAGGGUUAAAAGACAUGAAACCGUCAAGAGAGAAGCGUAGGAAAAGGCACAUUAUUUUUAACAUUCAGUAAUCAAUAUUAUAUAAUGUAAGAGUAACGUAAGUGGUUUUCAUUAAUUGUGUUAUUCCACUGAAGUUGUCUUUUCCUACGUCCCGUCUUGAAACACGGACCGAGGAGUUUAACGGGUAUGCGAAUAAGUGAAGUGCAAAAUCACUUAUGAAACGAAAGUAAAGCUUAGAAAAUACGCCACCGUCUGUUGAACUACAGAACGUGUGGGAGUAUAUCCGUUCAGACCCGAAAGAUGGUGAACUAUGCUUGCGGAGGUUGAAGCCAGAGGAAACUCUGGUGGAGGACCGUCGCGAUACUGAUGCGCAACUCGUUCGUCAAACGUGAGUAUAGGGGCGAAAGACUCAUCGAACCAUCUAGUAGCUGGUUGCAUC